rnacentral:sRNA from 1 species
GCUGGGCACGGUGGCACACACCUGUAAUCCCAGUGACUGGGGAGGCUAAGGCAGGAGGAUUGCAAGUUCAAGGCCUGCCUCACCAAUUUAGCAAGGCCCUAAGCUACAUAGCAAGACCCUGUCUCAA